UUGGAACUAUGUACAUGGCCAUUGUACCUUAUAUCUAUAAUCUAACGCAACAUUACGCAAACGGUAGUUUCAUGACCUAAGCCAGACAAUAGGAAAAGUUAUUUGUAAGUGCAACUCACUAUAGCAAUUGAAAAACAUUUUAAGGCUUAAAAAAAUCAUCUUUGGGAGGCCAGCUUUUUUUGCUACUUUUUGUAAAUCUAAUUUUUUUCGCUAGCUGAAUCUAUCUUAAAUAAAGGAAAAACCGUCGGACAAAAGGCCUUUUCGAGGCCAGAUAAAUGCAAGUCGAAUAACUGUCAUAUACCAUCACACAUCUCAACUGAGCCGGUAACCAAAAAAAAAGCCACGUAGACGAAUAACAGAUAUGUACCUGUUGAGUCACCGCACGCGACUUCAUUCAGAGAACGAAGGCCGUCCAACCAUGGCACUUGCGAUACAUUCCCCUACACAAAACAGCGUACUGAUAUAACGAGAACGUUUUCGCCUUUGUGAUACCAACUUACAAUAGUAACUAUUAAGUUGAAGGGAUCCAGACACGCAACUAAAUGUGACCGUAACCGAUAACUCACUAUACGUACUGAGCUGUGAUGAGUGUGGUCUGGUAACAAGAAGAACUACGAUAUGCUACAAACAGCACGAUACGCUAGCGUGAAUGUAAACGAUUUCCAUGGAUGGGCAACGAUCAGCCAGAAAACUUGUGGGCAAUCAAGAAAACGCAGUUCUCGUAAUGGGAAAAGCUGCAGAUAACGUUGGAAAAAGGAGAAGGGUAAUAGCAGCGCUCGUCUGCGAGAUACAAUCAUAUUGCUCCAGGGAAAAUUGCACCGCUCCAAACGUUAGUCGAUUGACCGAGCGACGCGCUCGGACGAUAUUGAAGCGGAAAAUUUGUUUCUAUCCAGAAUUCCGUACCUGUAUUCUGCAGUCCGAAUAGACUUCAACUUCUUGAACAUUCAAGGACGCGAGGGUAACUUACCUAAAGAUAUUCCGCAAAUUUUCGAGGAUCAGAAAGCGACAUGUGCGGAUAGGUUAUAAAGACGUCUGCGCUAGUAUCCGGCGAGGUGAUUUGAAAAGACAAGACCUCCGAAUAAAUGAGAAUAUAAAGCGCAUAUAUGGAAAAUGUCCUGUGUCGGCAUGAUAGUUGAGGUGACCAUGCCCACCACAUAGUACCCCACGCUCCGUCCUUUUUCCUGUACAAGCCUGUCGUGCACUAACAAUGACUAGCAGUACCAGUCUUGCUAGAAUUAAAACUGGACGUAUGCCCAUUCGCUGUGCUGUUUCUUAUGGCGUUUUUUGCCUUUCUGUGCUGCCUCGUCUUUUCUGGACGCCCAACUUAGUUAUGACGGUGGGCCGAAGGUAUCCGAAAGACCUAAAAGAAAGACUUGUCAGGGAAAGAUCAAGACAUUGAAAAGCGGAAGCCAGAAAGUCGGAACCUGCUUUACUACAACUACGCCUACCACUGCAAUUACUGUACGAAAGAUCUUAGCGUUUCCAUAACUCCCGAGAUAUUUUGAUGCUUUAGCCAGCCUAAAUGAAGGAAUGCCCCCUUCGGGCUCCUUCGUGGCCGCCCCUACUGCUGAACGAGUUGGGAAAUUAGAGUGAAUGCGGAAUCCGUAAAAGCUAUACGCGUUCCAAGUCUGCCACAGUGUAAAAAGGCCUAGAGUAGUGUAUUAUUGUGAAGUGCAUUAUGGAAAGGUGAGGGGGACGAGACGUCAUUACGAUAUUAUAACGAGAUAGGUGGAAAAGAUGUUUGCUGACACCUGCCGUUCUAAAAUCAAUAUGGCGUUAGCUACUGCACAAUGCAAGAAGGUAAACAAGCUAGUCUCAGAGUGUCUUACAUGUUCCGAUUCCAAAUAGUGUUCCGAAUAGUAUUAAUGCGAUAGGGAGCGAUCAUGUCUGUUGGACAACGGUAGGUGUUUUUUCAAGAUAUCAAACAAUUUGCUCAGUACAGAUGCCUAUUGUGUGUGUGUAUAUAUGUUUGACAAUACUGAUGCCGUAAAUGUCGUCAAGUGAGGGCCUUCGUCUAGACCAAAAAAUUCAGUCCACAGUCAUAUGCGUCUUGUCGCCAAGUCGUUUUGGCGUACUUAUCAUACAACCAUAGAUAUAUGUAUAAUUAUAUGCAUGUCGGCUAGAUAAUUGAUAAAAUAUUCUUCAGGUAAGGACUAUUUCGCUCAAAUGUUAUCUAUCAUAGUGGCAAUAGACGGUAUAUACAUACAUAGCUAUUGUUUUGAAUACGCCAAAAUCUCUCAGAUUAUUUGAACUCGA